UCGAAACCKSCAARGCGCACCCGCGAACAUGUGUUUAACCGUKKGGGCGUCGAGGCGUGGGGGGACAGAAAGAAUCCYCAYGCCGAGGCCCYKUGUCCGUGCGACGCUUGCGUCUGUUCCGGACCAACGAACCCCGGCGCGGAAUGCGCCAAGGAAAACUACAAAAGAAGCGCCUGGCCCCUCGCCUGCCCCGUUCGCGGGUGCCUGCGGGGGGAAACACGGCCUAUCUUGAAUGUCAAAACGACUCUCGGCAACGGAUAUCUCGGCUCUCGCAUCGAUGAAGAACGUAGCGAAAUGCGAUACUUGGUGUGAAUUGCAGAAUCCCGUGAACCAUCGAGUCUUUGAACGCAAGUUGCGCCCGAAGCCAUUAGGCCGAGGGCACGUCUGCCUGGGCGUCACGCAUCGCGUCGCCCCCUCCCAUUUGGGUUGGGGCGGAAACUGGCCUCCCGUGCGCGCGAGUGURCGGCUGGCCCAAAUCUGAUCCCGCGUCGACGGAUGUCACGACAAGUGGUGGUUGAACUAUCAACUCGCGUGUUGUCGCGACUGUCUCCGUCGCAUGCUCGGGCAUCAACAUGACCCAACGGUGCUUAACUGCGCCUUCGAC
rnacentral:rRNA from 1 species